rnacentral:rRNA from 1 species
UACGAAGGGGGCUAGCGUUGCUCGGAAUCAGUACGUGGGCGUAAAGCGCACGUAGGCGGAUCUUUAAGUCAGGGGGUGAAAUCCUGGAGCUCAACUCCAGAACUGCCUUUGAUACUGGGGAUCUCGAGUCCGGGAGAGGUGAGUGGAACUGCGAGUGUAGAGGUGAAAUUCGUAGAUAUUCGCAAGAACACCAGUGGCGAAGGCGGCUCACUGGCCCGGUACUGACGCUGAGGUGGCGAAAGCGUGGGAGCAACAGG